rnacentral:lncRNA from 1 species
AGCACUGAAUAAAGGUUUUCUUGUUACAACCUAGGAGAGAGAGUACAAGCUUUGGCAUCAGACAGAACGAGUGUGGAAUUCCAGCUCCAUCACUUACUACUCUUUUGAGCACAGAAGAGUUUUGUGGGUUUUUUUUAAACCAUGAGUUUCGAUUUGGUCUCAUAAGUAAAUGGGACUAAUAAUACACAAUUAUAGGUUUGUUGGGAAAUGAAAAGUGAUAUCAUGUGUAGAGCCCCUAGCACAGUGCUUGGCGCAAUAAACACCAUCGCCCUCUCUGUCCCAUGUCCCCUGACUGUCCUUAUUCUGGAACCAGGGCUGAAUAAUUCUGCACAACUAGCCCAGGGUAUGUUGUAUAUUUGCAGGUUUACACCCACCUUUCACUUUAUUUUGUUGUUGUUUUUUGUUUUAAUAUAUUACCUUUUAAAUAAUAUAUUUUGUUUAACUGUAAGUUUAUAGGAUUUAAUUUUCAACAAUAACUCUUUACCGACUAGCUCACAAAAUUCCUGAAAAUUUGACAGUCAGCUCUUGCCAACAAGUACGAGCUGGCUGUGGCAUUCCACUGCUCUCUUACCAUCCUAGAUUGCUUUCUAAAUCCCAGACAUUAUAUCACCUUUCUUAAACAUUUUAGUAUACAUCUCUAAAAAUAAAGACUCUUUAAAAGAACCACAAUAUCAUUAUCACACAUAAUAAUUUUAGUAAUAAUUCCUUAAUAUUCCCUAAUAGUUCCCUAAUUGGCAUAUAAAUUGAAUCUAUCUUUCACUUUGACUCUGGGCCUUGUCUGAACCAUUGUGCCAAGGGAGGGCUUACCCCAUUAUCCACAGAGACCCUGACAGCCCAUAUCUACCUUCUGAUUUCACAGGCAGCUGCUUCUCUAUGCUUAUGUCUCCAACGAAGUCAUUUUUCUCCUUUGUGAUCAGGUGCACAGAAUCCACUGUGCCCCACAAAGGAGAAGGACCAUUUAAUCCUGUGGGGAUGCUUGAGGCCCAGGGAAGACCUAAAAUCCUUUGACCUGCUUAUCACGCUGCCUCCUCAAGCAGAUGAAGCAUGGAGUCUAAAAGAGCCAGGCCCCCAGCUGGUGGAACCAGAAGAGAACUUUGUCUGCCCCUCCUUUCCCUACUGAUGUAUAGCUGCUGUUGGCAGAGACUUCCUGCUUUGGAAUGGCUCAUUCAUAAUCACUAAUCAAGCCAAUUAGAAAUGCCCCACAAAGUGCUUAGGAACAGUAAUGAUUGCCUGGGCUACUAUUUUAAAUAUUUGACCAUUGAAAACCAUCCAGAAAUGGGAGCAGACACAAAAGGUUUUUCAAUAUAAAUAAAUAAGGAACCAGUGUGCUGAGGUCAUUGUACUCCCCAAAGAAAAUUACUUUCAAAUUACAACUACAUAAAAGAAAUAAUUGAAAAGAUUAAUCACACUAAAAUAAUUGGUCUAUUUUACAAGUAAUUUGGAGCAAUAUUCAGUCAUUGACAUCAAUGUCUAGUAGUAAAACAGUAAUGAAUUUCAUUCUCUGACUAAUGUAUUUAUUUUAUUAAUGGUACUAAAUGGUGUUGUUACUGCUUAUAAAUAUUUCAUAACUUUUAAUUCAUUAAAAUGUUCAAGGAAUUUCCAAAAGUAUUUAUUAGUUUUAAAUCAUCCUUAGUAUUCAAUGUGCAAUUGCCACUCUGCCUGGGUAAUUUAAAAAAUUAUUGUUUUGGGUAAUGGGAGUCUCUUUGAAUGUGGAGGAUUAAGCCCCAGUUAUUAAUGAGACUAUCACUCCAGACAGUGAUGAAUGAGGGGUUUGGUGAGGCUGUUUUCUCUCUUCGGGUCUCUAAGGCCCCUUUGUAGCCAUUCCUAAAACCUGUAGCUGUGAGGCAAACGGGGUAGACUCACAUAAUUAAUUCUGGAGAUGAUAAGAGAAAGGUCACCUAGACAUUGGUUUCAAUCCACCAGCUCUCCUGCCUCCUCUCCAUCUUCCUGAAACAGCCAACAGCAAAGUGAGUAUAUUCCAACCUCAUCUCCUCUAUUUCUUUCCUUCUUCGGUAGAGGCCGUAACAAGUGAAAUGGGCAAAAAGAUCCAACCAAAAGAACAGGGACACCACAUCAUGAAUAGUGGAGGGAGGCUAGGAUUUGGAUGAGGAAAAUGUGAGUUUGGGUCCUGAGUUGUUUGAGUGCUAUGUGUCUGUUACAUCUCGUAGUACGAGAUCAUUCAUGUGUGAAAGGAAGACGAGGGUACCUGGCUUAGGGUCCAUGUGGGAAUUAAAUAUGUUAGCGUGUGUGCCUAUGUGACACAGUGCCUGGAACCUAGUGGGAAAUCACACAAGGUCAGGUCUCCUCUCCCCUACGCCAAAAGAGUGUCUCGUGACAGUAUUGAUCCGGUGGCCUUGACAACUCUUAAUUAACCAUGAUAUAAACAAUUGGUAUGAGUCAUCCAGAAAAACAGCAGGGAACCGUACAACUCAGGUGCUCCGAGAAGUCUUAGGGUGUCCCCUCCAGGAGGACAAGAUGACUCUGCUCUCAAUGCUGUGUCCCAACUUGGCUGACCUCCCUGCCUCCAGAGACUUGUCCAGACAGGAAGUGGCUGAAAGCAUUUGGUUCUGGGCAAAUUGGGAGGAGUCAGGAUCCAACAGGUGGCUUGAGGGAAAGCAGGGCCAACUCUUCUCACGCUUGGACACUGGUACCUCGGAGAUGUGCAGUGACGUACUGGGAAUGUCCAAGUGCACAGAAUCAACAUGGUACAUCUUUCCAGACUGGUGUGGGGGACAUGUGCAUUAAAACUAGCAAGGCUAUAUAUUGGGCUCCAAUGCAAACUGCACAUAAAUUUAAGAUAAAAGAACUUUCCUGCUCAUAGUGAUCCCCCAGAUUCUGGGAGGUGACUUCACCCUUGUGCCAUUUGGGGAACAUCAGAGAGCAUGUUGGUGAAGCACCAUUCGAGGGGAAAGAGGGACAUGGGUAAGAGGAGGUACUGGGGCUGCCCACUGGAAAGCUGGUGCCAAAGGGAAGGGAUCCUCUCAAUGCAAGCCGUGCAUGGGCGGAAUAGUGGGCAGAACCCAGGCGACACAAGGCAUCAGCAGUGGGGCCCUAAGCUACCAAAUGAGGCGGAGAAAGGCUCCGUUCCUAAAAUGUAGGUACCAGGGCAGGGCCAGACUAACCAAAUAUCACAUUGCAAAGUCCCCUGUGCAUUGGUCUAAAGCUUCGGUUUUUUUUUUUUUUUUUUUUUUUUUUAGGGGUGUGAUUUUUUUUUAAGAUUUUUAUUUUUUCUGUUAUAUUAGAUUUACAAUGUUCUGUCAGUUUCUGCUAUACAGCAAAGUGACCCAGUUAUACAUAUCUACAUUCUUUUUUUCACAUUGUCCUCCAUCAUGUUCCAUCACAAGUGAUUAGAUAUAGUCCCCUGUGCUAUACAGCUGGAUCUCAUCUCUUAUCCACUCCAAAUGCAGUAGUUUGUAUCUACUGACCCCAAACUCCCAGUCCUUCUCCUCCCUCUUGGCAACCACAAGUUCUCCAAGUCCAUGAGUUUCUUUUCUGUAGAUAGGUUCAUUUGCGACUUUUAUCUGGUCUAAAGCUUCUUAAACUUUCUCAAGGACAAAAGUGAUCUCAGAGUUGGUUUUGGUUUGUGUUUGAAGAGGGAUGGGGGGGUAUUAAACCUUUAUCUGACCAUCUGGGAGACAUUUUACUUCCUUUCUUCCAGGACUGCAGGCAGAGCUCCUCACUCAGGGCCUUGGGCACUUCCAGAGUAGAGGAUGGUGACUGGGCUGAGGGAGCUGUUUGCUGGCUGAUGGGCAUAGACUGGGCACACAAGAGGGCUUGUGAUGCUUUUUCUCUCUUUACUCAUAGUUAUUUUGCAGUUUUUGAUAGUCUCGGUUUUCAAGUUAUGCUGCGAGUUUCUGUGGAACUUUGGUUGCCUUUCUAGUUGUGAUUUGUUUGGGGAAGAAACACUGGGAGGCAGUUUCUCAGCAGCUGCCCUGAAAGCCCCGCAAUGCACAGGGCAGAUGAUCUCUGGGUUCCCUCUUCCCUCUGCUCCGACAUUCUGGGGUUCUGUGAGCAGCAUGUGGGUGGAUGUAAAAUCUUCUGGCUUUUGCUGCUUUUGCUUCUGCAUUUAGCUCUUAGCCAGCAUUUUGUGUCUAUAAAAGGCUUAACAAACACCGACUAAUUACCCGUCGUUAAUCAUUUAUGCAACUGGUAGACCAGAGUCUUAUCAUUUCCUUCAAGAACUCGGGUGUAAUAUCCUGUCUGGAUCCCAAGUCACACUCAAGGGAGUGAUGGGGCUGUCAUGGUGGCACUGGGAUCCUCCCAAGCUCACUGGGAGAGUGGGCCGGAUGGUGGGCAUAGGCUCUGUGAGACCACAACACCGCUAGGAUGCCCUUCGGCUUUAAUGAACAGGAAGGACAAGCCACAUCGCCAGCCAAUGGCAGCUGAGAGGCCAUAAGCUUUAAUUAGAGGCUUCUUCCUGGAAAUUCACAUAGACUAAUAGGUCUAUUGUCUUAAAAGGCCCAGGGAGGUUGAAUGCCUCAACUUUCUUUUGCUUUUAUAAGCAGAUCCUUUCAACCUUUGGGGAAAUGUAAAUAUAAUGAAAACUUUGGCCCUGAUGAGCUGCCCAUUGCUACAGGGGCAGGCAGCCUGAGCCUAGGGUCAGGAGGCAGAUUGUCUGUAGGUUUAUGGCUCAGGGACACAGAGCAGGGCAGGUGAACCAGCUGUUACAGCUGAGAACAGCUGUAGUACGGACUCCUGGAGAAGGUCACUUUGGUCUCUGGGAGGGCUGGGAAUGGGCAAGCUCCCCUUGCAUCCCAGUCCCAAGAGGUUGACGAGAGCCUGUGAGUGGCCCAAAGCCUCUGUCCUUUGAACUUGGGUUUAUGAAUGUAUAAAGCUGGGCUGAGAAAUGCUCAGAAUUACAUUAUGUGGGGAAAUAACAAUUAAAAAAAAUUUUAAAUAAAGGCUGUGUAUUUAUUUAAAAAAUAAAUAAAUAUAAAUAAAUAAGUAAAUAAAUAAAAGUGAUGAGUCCU